UUACAGUGAGAAUAAGAGAAGAUGAAAUGAUACUGAAAAGCCGUUUAAAAAGUUGAAGAGUUAUGCGUAUAAAGCAAGAUGAUUGUUAAGUGAAUGCAUUAGAUAUAAAGGCCACUUGCUCCUGGACCCUCCUUGACUUCCAUCCCUCUAAGCCAAUCAAAAUGAAGUUGGAAGUGAUGGGGUUUGGUUGCCAUUGGCAACUGAUUGUCUACUUUGUCCAAGCUCUGGCAACCUGGGUUAGAUAAACUAUGAGAAAGUUCUCAUAGAGCAAGCAAUAUUGGCUUCUGCUGGUUUGAGUCAUGUUUACCUUGGCUUUAAGGGAGUCCCCAGAAUGCUGAAGACCAGACUGAGUUUCUUUACGUGAUGGCAGAAGUGUUGAAAGAGAACGAGAGCGGAAGCUGCAACACCUCUUGAAGUUGAGGCCUAGAAGUCACACAGCAUCUCUUCUGCUCUACUGGAUUGGUCAAAGCAAGUCAUGGGCUAGUUCAGACUGAGGGGGUAGCAAAAUAGACCCUACCUCUUGGUGGGAAAAAAGGCAGUCACAUUGUAAAGGAGUGGGCACAUAAGGAUAGAAGGACUUGAUUUGGCUAUCUUAUAAACAACCUACCACAGAAGGA
rnacentral:lncRNA from 1 species